GCCUGGGUGGCUCAGUUGGUUAAGCACCUGACUUUGGCUCAGGUUGUGAUCUAGUGGUUCAUGGGUUCAAGCCCCACAUCAGGCU
rnacentral:tRNA from 1 species